UACGGAGGGUGCAAGCGUUGUCCGGAAUUACUGGGCGUAAAGAGCUCGUAGGCGGUUUGUUGCGUCGGCUGUGAAAUCCCGAGGCUCAACCUCGGGUCUGCAGUCGAUACGAGCAAACUAGAGUGUUGCAGGGGAGACUGGAAUUCCUGGUGUAGCGGUGAAAUGCGCAGAUAUCAGGAGGAACACCGGUGGCGAAGGCGGGUCUCUGGGCAACAACUGACGCUGAGGAGCGAAAGCGUGGGGAGCGAACAGG
rnacentral:rRNA from 1 species